UGGGGAAUAUUGGACAAUGGGCGCAAGCCUGAUCCAGCAAUGCCGCGUGAGUGAUGAAGGCCUUCGGGUUGUAAAGCUCUUUCGCACGCGACGAUGAUGACGGUAGCGUGAGAAGAAGCCCCGGCUAACUUCGUGCCAGCAGCCGCGGUAAUACGAAGGGGGCUAGCGUUGUUCGGAAUUACUGGGCGUAAAGGGCGCGUAGGCGGUGCAUCAAGUCAGGCGUGAAAGCCCCGGGCUCAACCUGGGAACCGCGCUUGAGACUGGUGCGCUAGAGUUCGGGAGAGGAUGGUGGAAUUCCCAGUGUAGAGGUGAAAUUCGUAGAUAUUGGGAAGAACACCGAUGGCGAAGGCAGCCAUCUGGACCGACACUGACGCUGAGGCGCGAAAGCGUGGGGAGCAAACAGGAUUAGAUACCCUGGUAGUCCACGCCGUAAACGAUGAGUGCUAGACGUCGGGGCCCUCAGGGCUUCGGUGUCGCAGCUAACG
rnacentral:rRNA from 1 species